GACGAACGCUGGCGGCGCGCCUAACACAUGCAAGUCGAACGGAGGUUAUUCUGAAUGAAGUUUUCGGAUGGAUUUUGGAUUAACUUAGUGGCGAACGGGUGAGUAACGCGUGAGUAACCUGCCCUGGAGUGGGGGACAACAGUUGGAAACGACUGCCUAAUACCGCAUAAGCCCACGGUGCCGCAUGGCACAGUACGGGAAAAGGAUUUAGUUCGCUUCAGGAUGGACUCGCGUCCAAGUUAGCCUAGUUGGUGAGGUAACGGCCCACC
rnacentral:rRNA from 1 species